UACGUAGGGUCCGAGCGUUGUCCGGAAUUAUUGGGCGUAAAGGGCUCGUAGACGGUUUGUCGCGUCGGGAGUGAAAACACGGGGCUUAACCCCGUGCCUGCUUCCGAUACGGGCAGACUAGAGGUAUGCAGGGGAGAACGGAAUUCCCGGUGUAGCGGUGGAAUGCGCAGAUAUCGGGAGGAACACCCGUAGCGAAGGCGGUUCUCUGGGCCAAUACUGACGCUGAGGAGCGAAAGCGUGGGGAGCAAACAGG
rnacentral:rRNA from 1 species